ACGCUAGCGGCAGGCCUAACACAUGCAAGUCGAGGGAGAAGCCCUUCGGGGCAGAAACCGGCGCACGGGUGCGUAACGCGUAUGCAACCUACCUUUCACAGGGGGAUAGCCCGAAGAAAUUUGGAUUAAUACCCCAUAAUAUUAUUGGAUGGCAUCAUUUGAUAAUUAAAAUUACGAUGGUGAAAGAUGGGCAUGCGUCCUAUUAGCUAGUUGGAGUGGUAACGGCACCCCAAGGCUACGAUAGGUAGGGGUCCUGAGAGGGAGAUCCCCCACACUGGUACUGAGACAGGGACCAGACUCCUACGGGAGGCAGCAGUGAGGAAUAUUGGUCAAUGGUCGGAAGACUGAACCAGCCAUGCCGCGUGCAGGAAGAAUGCCUUAUGGGUUGUAAACUGCUUUUAUAUGGGAAGGAUAAGGAGUACGUGUACUUUGAUGACGGUACCAUAUGAAUAAGCAUCGACUAACUCCGUGCCAGCAGCCGCGGUAAUACGGAGGAUGCGAGCGUUAUUCGGAAUCAUUGGGUUUAAAGGGUCUGUAGGCGGGCUAUUAAGUCAGGGGUGAAAGGUUUCAGCUUAACUGAGAAAUUGCCUUUGGUACUGGUAGUCUUGAAUAUCUGUGAAGUUCUUGGAAUGUGUAGUGUAGCGGUGAAAUGCUUAGAUAUUACACAGAACACCGAUUGCGGAGGCAGGGGACUAACAGACGAUUGACGCUGAGAGACGAAAGCGUGGGGAGCGAACAGGAUUAGAUACCCUGGUAGUCCACGCUGUAAACGAUGGAUACUAGCUGUUUGGAGUAAUUUGAGUGGCUAAGCGAAAGUGAUAAGUAUCCCACCUGGGGAGUACGCACGCAAGUGUGAAACUCAAAGGAAUUGACGGGGGCCCGCACAAGCGGUGGAGCAUGUGGUUUAAUUCGAUGAU
rnacentral:rRNA from 1 species